rnacentral:rRNA from 1 species
GCCGUUCUCAGUUCGGAUCGGAGUCUGCAACCCGACUCCGUGAAGCUGGAUUCGCUAGUAAUCGCGCAUCAGCCAUGGCGCGGUGAAUACGUUCCCGGGCCUUGUACACACCGCCCGUCACACCAUGAGAGUCUGUAACACCCGAAGCCUGUGAGCUAACCGUAAGGAGGCAGCAGUCGAAGGUGGGGUUGAUGAUUAGGGUUAAGUCGUAACAAGGUAAC